rnacentral:rRNA from 1 species
GUGCCAGCAGCCGCGGUAAUACCGGCAGCCCGAGUGAUGGCCGAUCUUAUUGGGCCUAAAGCGUCCGUAGCUGGCUGCGCAAGUCCGUUGGGAAAUCUACUCGCCCAACGAGUGGGCGUCCGACGGAAACUGCACAGCUUGGGACCGGAAGGCUCGAAGGGUACGGCCGGGGUAGGAGUGAAAUCCUGUAAUCCCGUUCGGACCACCAAUGGCGAAAGCACUUCGAGAAAACGGAUCCGACAGUGAGGGACGAAAGCUAAGAUCGCGAACCGGAUUAGAAACCCGUGUAGUCC